ACCAAAUAGUUAAUUGGUCAAAUUGACCAUUUAUUUAUUGGUCAAAACAACCAAUUAUUUCCGGUUGUUUUGACCAAUAAAUAAUUGGUCAAUUUGACCAAUUAAAU